UCACCUCCUCCUCCCUACCUUUACACCUCGCCUCCACCACCCAUGAAAUCACCUCCUCCCCCGGCCUACGUCUACUCAUCACCUCCGCCACCAACAUACUACUAAGCUCAAUAAGCCUAGUCAUGAGCCAGUCUCAAUUAAGUUCUAGUUUCAAGAGUGUAAUAAGGAGAGUGAUAAGGGUGCAAGAAUCAAUCAUCAAUUUCAUCAAGUUUCAUCGAAUAAGGGUCUCAAAGAUCCAUCGGCCAAGAGCCAACGAGGGGAAAUGGGUCGCCAGAUUGCUUCUGCCUCUUUGAUUGUCGUCUUCCAACUUCUGCUCACAUUACUUUCAGAUGGGACAGGCUCAAAAUGCUUAUCUCAACAAAGAAAAUGGUCGGAGCAUGCCUUGAUAAAAUAAGGGUGCAGGAUUUGCCCAUCUAGCUUUGCUUGUAUUUUUCCUUUCCGUUACUAAUACUCGUCGCCUUCUUAGGAUGUAAUCUCAUUUAUUUUGCCAUGUCCUUGUACUACUUCAUGUUGAUUUGGACUCCUCCCUUCAUUUGUUUGUUGGAUCCUCUUGUUAUUGAAUAAAAUUCCAUCUAACAAUAAGCAUAAAUUGAUUAA